rnacentral:rRNA from 1 species
GGGUGUGAUCAUACCAGCACUAAUUUAUUGGAUUCCAUCGGAACUCUGAAGUUAAGCAUGCUUCGACGAGAAUGGUACUAAGAUGAGCUUUAUCGCAGGACCCCCA